rnacentral:rRNA from 1 species
CGACAGCGACCACAGGUCAG